rnacentral:sRNA from 1 species
GUUUAGCCCCGGGUGAAGUGGCAUCCUUUUUUUGUUGAAAAAAUUAGUUACUAUUUCUAUUCUGGUUUGUAAAGAAUUGAUGUGUUCUCUAAGUCUUAAAACAAAAAAAGAUACAACGUAACACGGGAAGUGGG